rnacentral:lncRNA from 10 species
GGGCUUAACCCUCUAGCCGCUGGGCACGCGCGGGCUACCGGGGCGGAGGCGUACGGGGGCGGCGAGCGGGGCUCGGCUCCUCCUCGUCCCGCGCCAGCGCCGCGCCCGGCCGCAUUCUCGGGGCCCGAGGCUCAGCCGCUCGCGGUGGAGAAAGCAGGCCGCGGAGGAGGCGGGCGCCCAGGCCUGCCCGGACAGGAAGUGGGCCCAGCUUUCCCACUCCUCGCUCCGCUCCUUCCUCCGCGGGAAGGGCAGGCCCCGGAGGCAGCGAGCGCCCCGGGGGUGGCCGGGCAGCCGGAUGCUCCCGGGGUUGCGGGCUGUGGCCCCGGGGGCUGAGGGCGGCGCGGGUGCGGCGGAAGCAGGGAAGCCGCGAACCGGCCUUCUGGCUGGCCACAGCGCCCUGCACGGACGAUCAGUGAAUGGAGAUUACUCAAGUAUUUAUCGAGAACUUGCAGUGGGCUAGGCACAGUUCAGGUAGAUCAACAAACCGAAAGACCCUGCCCUAGGGGAGCUUUCGCUCCAAUGCGGGGAGAGGGUGGAUGAUUGCAGUUUUGCCCAGUAAUUUUUGGGACCCUCAUGCCACCAUUAAUUAGCUACACACAUUUCACCGAAAGUCUACCUUACAUAUUAAUCAGAAGAAGUGGAAGAAUAAACACAGAAGAAGCAAAAAAGGAAGGAACUUUCUCACUGAAAGUUUCUAUUUAAUAUUAAGUCUUAAAAGUACUCCUGGAAGGACAAAAGGUGUUCUUAAUAAAUUAUAUUCGCAAAUAUUGGAUUUAAUCCUACCAGUAAUGAAGCAGUCAGUUACUUUCUAGAUGUGCAGAAAUACGUAAUGAACAAAAAAAACUAAUUCCUAUUCCAUUUUUUAUUAGGUCCACAGUUAUUUCACUUCUAAAUAAAUAUGGUUUUUUAAAAGUGGCACGCGGUGGAAUGUAAUUGAGACAGGAUGGAGUUCCUAGAGAAAUUUUACUUCCUCAAUCUGCACUCCACCUUACUUAAAAUACAGUCUUGGGUCUGUAAUUCCCUUAUCUGACUCUCAAGGAAAUGACAAAGUAAUGCCUAGAUUGGACUAAACCUCAUUUAACUUCAAGGCUGACCUUUCUCAAAGUUGAACCUUCGUCUUGUGAGGAACAGAAAGAUCAAGAACUCUGAAGCACCUCGACUUUCCACCUGUGAAGAUGUGUUCAAAUUUGCAACGUGCGGCCACACCUAUGAGGUUGAACUUUAUACAAUUGGUUUCUUUAUAGGUUUAGAUGGUUGAAUUUAAGUUACCCCCACUGCUAUUAUUAUUAUUUUGAGACAGAGUCUUAACUCUGUUGCCCAGGCAGGAGUGCAGUGGCGAGAUCUGGACUCACUGCAACCUCUGCCUCCUGGCUUCAAGCAAUUCUCAUGCUUCAGCCUGUAGCUGGAACUACAGGUCACUCCCUCUGGAGGAAACCAGCUGCCACUUUGUGAGGAUACUCAUAGUCCUGUGGAGGCAUAUCCUCCAUAUGGCUGAGACCUCCUGCGAACAACCAUCACUGACUUGCCAGACAUGAGUGUGCCACCUUGGAAGCAGAUUUUCCAGCCCCAGUUAAGCCUUCAGAUGACAUCAGCCCCUGCUAAUCUCUUGACUACAACCUCAUGAGAGACCCUGAGCCAGAACUAGCCAGGUAAGCCACUCCUGAAUUCCUGACCCACUGCACCUGGGAGAGAAUAAAUAUUUGCUGUUUUAAACCACUAAAUUUUAUUGUAAUUUGUUAUACAGCAAGAGAUAGCUAAUACACACUGCUAAAGCUUACAAUCUUUUAGAAUUGACUGAGACAUCAUUACAAUUCAGUGUGAUGAUGGUGACUCUAAGAACAACCUGAAAUAUGCACACUCUGAGUACAAGGAAAAGGUAACCUAAUUCUCUCUGGGGUGUAAGGGAGGAGGUCAUUUGGGCUGGGCCUUUACCUGACAAAUGGUACUGACAGAGAAUGCAGAAAAGGAGUGAUAGAUGAAUUUGGAGAGUUAAGAUAGAACUGGAUUGUGGCAGGUUUUGUAUGCUGUGAUAAAGAAUUGUGACUUUAUUCUGCAAACAAUGGGAAGGAAUGGAAAGUUGGUGUUUUUUGUUUAUUUGUUUUUGAGAUGGAGUUUCCCUCUUGUUGCCCAGGCUGGAGUGCAAUGGCACCAUCUCAGCUCACUGCAACCUCCACCUCCCGGGUUCAAGAGAUUCUCCUGCCUCAGUCUCCCAAGUAGCUGGGAUUACAGGCAUGUGCCACCAUGCCCAACUAAUUUUGUAUUUUUAGUAGAGACAGGGUUUCUCCAUGUUGGUCAGGCUUGUCUUGAACUCCCAACUUCAGGUGAUCCACCCACCUCAGCCUCCCAAAGUUCUGGGAUUACAGGCGUGAGCCACUGUGCCUGGCAAGAAAUGGAAAGCUUUUAAGCAUGACCAGAUCUGUCUUUAGAGGAGAACUAUCAGGAGUAUGGAAGACCAUCCUGAUUUAAACAGGAAGACCACUUUGGAAACUAUUAUAACAGUCCAGUAAAGAAAUGGACACUUCUCUCUUCUUUUUGAGACAGGGUCUCUGUCACCCAGGCUGGAAUGCAAUGGUGCAAUCACAGCUCACUGCAGCCCCAACCUCCUGGGCUUAAGUGAUCUUCUUGCCUCAGCUUCCGAGUAGCUGCGACUACAAGCACACACCACCAUGCCUGGCUAAUUUAUUUCUAUUUUUUGUAGAGACAGGGUCUCCCUCUGUUGCCCAGACUGGUCUCGAACUCCUAGGCUCAAGUGAUCCUCCUGCCUCUACCUCCCAAAGUACUAGGAUUAUAGGCAUGAUCCACUGCGUCUGGCUAGCACUCCUCAAAGAACAGUAGCAGUAAGAAUAAAAGGGAGUUGAAUGAGUCAGAACUUGCAUCUGGGAUAACAUAAAUGAUGGUGGGACCAUUAAAAAAUUUAUUUGGAAUAACAGAUAAAGAGCAUGUUUAAGGGAGGAGAAGAAGAUGGCCUCUGCUUUGAACAAGCUGAGGUUGAGGAGCCAUGGAACACUUUGACAGCUCAGUUGGAAACUGUUGGAUUGGACUUGGGGAGGGAAAAUCACAACUAAAGUAUUUUCAGUUCAUCUUCAGUAGGACUGUUGAGGUCAUCAGGUUAUAUAAGUGUUCUGAGAGAAUGAGAAAAAGUCUGAGGUCAGCAGAAUCCUAGUGAACCCCGACACUCGGAAUGGGGGAAGAUGAGGAAAAGGAAAGCGUGGCGUAGAGGAAGCCACGACAUAAGAAUUUCGUUAAGGACAGGUUGAAUCAGGCAGAACAAGAAUGAGAUGAAACUCCCAGAUUCAGCCAUCGUGGCUUUUAGAGACCACUUAAUUGAACAUUAGAGUGGGCUUAACAGUAGGUAGAAGUUGAGAAAAGGAGGUGGGUAAAAACGUCUGUUUGUAAAAAAAUGUUUUGUGAGA